AAUAGACUACCCAGGUAGUCCACGCCGUAAACGAUGAGUGCUAGGUGUUAGGGGUUUCGAUACCCUUGGUGCCGAAGUCAACACAGUAAGCACUCCGCCUGGGGAGUACGGUCGCAAGACUGAAACUCAAAGGAAUUGACGGGGGACCCGCACAAGCAGUGGAGUAUGUGGUUUAAUUCGAAGCAACGCGAAGAACCUUACCAGGUCUUGACAUCCCUCUGAAUAUCCUAGAGAUAGGGUAGGCCUUCGGGACAGAGGAGACAGGUGGUGCAUGGUUGUCGUCAGCUCGUGUCGUGAGAUGUUGGGUUAAGUCCCGCAACGAGCGCAACCCUUGAUUUUAGUUGCCAGCACUUCGGGUGGGCACUCUAGAAUGACUGCCGGUGACAAACCGGAGGAAGGCGGGGAUGACGUCAAAUCAUCAUGCCCCUUAUGACCUGGGCUACACACGUACUACAAUGGCCGGUACAACGGGAAGCGAAGGGGCGACCUGGAGCCAAUCCUUACAAGGCCGGUCUCAGUUCGGAUUGCGAGG
rnacentral:rRNA from 1 species